rnacentral:rRNA from 1 species
CGGUUUGUUAAGUCAGAUGUGAAAUCCCCGGGCUCAACCUGGGAACUGCAUCUGAUACUGGCAAGCUUGAGUCUCGUAGAGGGGGGUAGAAUUCCAGGUGUAGCGGUGAAAUGCGUAGAGAUCUGGAGGAAUACCGGUGGCGAAGGCGGCCCCCUGGACGAAGACUGACGCUCAGGUGCGAAAGCGUGGGGAGCAAACAGGAUUAGAUACCCUGGUAGUCCACGCCGUAAACGAUGUCGACUUGGAGGUUGUGCCCUUGAGGCGUGGCUUCCGGAGCUAACGCGUUAAGUCGACCGCCUGGGGAGUACGGCCGCAAGGUUAAAACUCAAAUGAAUUGACGGGGGCCCGCACAAGCGGUGGAGCAUGUGGUUUAAUUCGAUGCAACGCGAAGAACC